UACGUAGGGUGCGAGCGUUUGUCCGGAAUUAUUGGGCGUAAAGGGCUCGUAGGCGGUUUGUCGCGUCGGGAGUGAAAUCCACUGGCUUAACUGGUGGCUUGCUUUCGAUACGGGCAGACUGGAGGUAUGCAGGGGAGAACGGAAUUCCUGGUGUAGCGGUGAAAUGCGCAGAUAUCAGGAGGAACACCGGUGGCGAAGGCGGCUCUCUGGGCAUGUCCUGACGCUGAGGAGCGAAAGUGUGGGGAGCGAACAGG
rnacentral:rRNA from 1 species